CGUAACUACACGGAAAAAAAUAAAAGCAUAUUUCAAGAAACUUAUGGAAUUUUUUUUAUCGAAAGAUAAAUAUAUUAAUAAUUCACCACCAAAAUUUCAGAUCAAUUCACUGCACCGUUUUUGAAUAAUUAAUUUUCAAAA